GAAAGAGGCCUGAAGCAAUAGAGACUGCUAAUCCCUAUAACCACGGUUAAAUUCCGUGGCUCAUUCAA
rnacentral:tRNA from 1 species